UCACAAAUUUGCAUGGUCUGGUCAUUGUUAGUGAAUGUCACCAUCUGUGCAAACUUGUCAUUGUUUAGUCUCACUGGUAAAGGCUUUUCUGCUCUUUUAAUCCCAUUUUUUUGACACUUGGAUCCUUUGUUAUGUGGUGUACUUCCUUUUUUGAACUGAAAUUUGGACAGAUAUUUUAGUCUUUCUUUCCCCAUAUUAUCUUAUAUUGAACAGCUACUCAGUAAAUUGCAGUAUGAUUUUGUGAAUAUUUUUCACUUCAAUAUACUCACUUUAGGCCUUAGUUUUAUUUAUUUGUUUUAACCAGUUUUUGAUCUUUUUAAGAGAUCCCCCUUUUCUUUGAAGACAGCAGAAAUGAACACAACCCCAGUCUGAUAAAGAGACCAUUAUCUUAAUCACCAGACACAAAGGAGCACAAUGCCUGGACAUAGGAGGCUACUUCCUGGGGUGCAUCGGACCUGUUUAUAAACAUGCUGAAAACACGUGGAUUUGAGGGUAACCCUGUUUGCAGAUGGAAAAAGUCAGAAAAUGCCGUGUGGGUACCCUGUUUUUUGGACUCGGCCAAUGAGAGAGAAACAUAUAGUGAAAAUAAUUACCGGUGUGAUACCUU